rnacentral:rRNA from 1 species
ACUAGAUGGUGGUUUUAGAUGGAAAUUAUUCUUGAAAUUGGAUAGUUAGUGCAGAUCCUAAUGGGUUUAAUAAGACGGAAAGACCCCGAGAGCUUUACAAGGUUUGUUUAUUUGGGGCAAAGGUUUAUUUUUUAUAAGUUUUUUGAUCCUAUUGGGUUAUAGAUUUAAGUUACCUCGGGGAUAACUAGGUAAGAAGUGAGGAGAGGCCUUAUCGAUUUGCUUGUUUGCCAUCUCGAUGUUGACUUGGGGUUGAUAGGGGG